rnacentral:lncRNA from 1 species
GUCAAGUUCGGACCAAUUUAAUGGCAAAAACACCCAAUCCUUAGCCCAAUAGUCCCCAAAAGUCCAAUCCAAACCACCCCUGCAACUGACCCAGUCGCGACGACCCAUGUAACGACCUGCCCCGCCUAUUCCUUAAUCCUGGCCGUUGAUCUUUCAAGAUUAACGGCCGAAGAUCACCUCACCCCUUUUAAUUAAUCAAACACCUAAAACCCUAAAGACCACUUCAAACUAGCCGCCUCUAUGCUUUCUCGAACCUUCUCCUCUCUUCUACAAACCCUAGCUGCUCCACUCAAAUCCCAGUCCCAAUUCGAUAAUCACAUGGAAAUCUUCCAUGAUUCCUUUCCUUUCUUGCACACACGAAGACGCUUACCAUCUCUUAAACAUUACAAUCAUUUGGUACUCGAUUAUUUAUGGAAAAUGAAUCACCAAUGUUCGUUCAACUCCGAUUAUGUAUUAUCUUCAUGUUUCUGACCUGAUACACUCACUUCCAGAUCUUAUUAGUCUGAGUAAUUGAGACAUUUUUACUAUUUUUGUUCUUCUUUUCAAACUAGG